CUCUCCUGCGGCUGGUGCCCGACCUAAUUCACUUCCAGCCAGCUCUGGUCAUUCCUCACAACACUGCAGAAAUCCUAGGAGAGCUGCGUAUCUAACACCUCUGACAAACACAGACAAUGACCAGAGAAAUUAAAACUGCCAGGAAUAAAAGAUAGCACAAAGAGAGCCCUGAGGAAAGUGCACAACGCCGCCGCCGCCGGGAGGGCCAGCGAGUGGGAGAAGCGGAGCCGCUGUCCAGCCCACCUGCUCCGGAGGGGAAGAGAGGGGACCCGUGACCCCGCUCGGGGACGCAGGCCCGAAACACGCACGGAGACAUCGCGGCAGGUCCCUUGGGUCCCCUUGCUCCACGUCGUGGUUCAGUUUGGAGAAUAGCCCCGACCCCUGCAGAUACCUCGCAAUGUGAGAAGCCGUAUGCUGUCCAGCCAGCAGCACAAGGACCCAAUUGUCCUCUUAUAAAAACAUGAAUUACGCCGAUAUAACCCAGCUCAUUUCUCUGCCCUCAUCAGGAAGGCAUCAUAAGUGAGGACAGAAUCAAGUCCAAAAUGUCUGCACAGUAUCUAUCCUAUGAAUUUGAAGGUGAAAAACAAGACUUUUGGGGGAAGUUCUGGGACAAAUCCAACAAUUAAACACCACCCUGUGAAAAUAUUCCCGGUUGUCCUCCAAAAAAGCUGAGUUUACUGACAACUGUGGCUAGAAGGGUUUCCCUAUCACAGACAAACCCCAAAACAUGGAUGAGUUUUGCCGUAAUAAUGCUUAGAAAAGCCAAUGCAUAACUGAGAAAACGGGCCGUGUGGAAUUAGGAAGGGAGGGGAACUUAUUAGCCAUGUGAAGCCCCCCUUCUAGACCAGAUCUGACCUAUUCACUGGUUAAAAUCACUCUUUGCAGGAAGAAAUUGAAUGAUGGAAAGGAAAAGAGGGAUGCUGACAGAAAUACUGAGCAGAAUUCCUGGUCAUACUCCGGGGAUGGUGAGGCAGGACCACUUUCAGCUUGCAUCAAAUACAUGCGCAGGGGAAAAAAAAAAAAGGAAAAAAAAAUAAGAAAAAAGGAAAAAAAAAAGAAAAAACAAGCUAA